CAAAAAGGAAAACGAGGCGUGCUCAAUCAGCUCCUUUUAGUUGUUUAAAAUGUUGGUGAUUAAAAACACAAUGGAGAUAUUCCAAGAAAAAGUUCCAACACGGGAAAGCCCACCUUAUUUCAAGCAAAUUUACAAUUUGUAGAAGAAGGGGAGGUGCCCUUCAUGGGAGAAUCGCCAGUCAGCAGGAGAAUGCACAUCUCAGAAUCUGAUGCAUAAACCUAAGAACAUUCACUAUUACAUCAACAUCUGUACUCAAACUGAGAACCUCACCGGGUCACACAGACAACCAGUCUAGAGAAUGUACUAAGCAGAAUGCAAGCGCUUGAAAUCACAUGUUCAACUCAUGCGCAGGGAUUGGAGUUGCAUCUGAAAGCAGUUGAGGAGGCCGUGAAAAAAAUUGAAGACAUUUCUCUUCAAUCAAUCAACAACAGCCUUAAAGUGAUGGAGGCCACUUUUUUCUCUGCACAGAAAAUUGCUAGCAAUACUGGUGGACCGCUAAGAACAUUUCUUUUUUUUGGAGGGGGGGAAUCGAUAGCAUCCUUACCCCCCACACACAUCCAUAAAUAGAGGCAUAAAUAGAGGCUGCUUUUAUAAUGUAGGCCAAAUUUAAGUUGUUGCAAGGAAUGGUUAUUAUUGUUUUAUUUGAGGUUUUGUUAAAGGUUUUUUCAUUUCGGUUUUCCCCAAAUACAAGAAUAUAUAUAUUUAUCUUUUAGAAGAGGUGUCAUUCUACUUUAAUGUUAACGGAAGCCAAUUUUUUCUUGUGCCUUUAUAAAGGAGAUUAUACAGGUU